rnacentral:rRNA from 1 species
GUGGGGAAUAUUGGACAAUGGGCGCAAGCCUGAUCCAGCCAUGCCGCGUGAGUGAUGAAGGCCCUAGGGUUGUAAAGCUCUUUCACCGGUGAAGAUAAUGACGGUAACCGGAGAAGAAGCCCCGGCUAACUUCGUGCCAGCAGCCGCGGUAAUACGAAGGGGGCCAGCGUUGUUCGGAAUUACUGGGCGUAAAGCGCACGUAGGCGGGUAUUUAAGUCAGGGGUGAAAUCCCAGAGCUCAAAUCUGGAACUGCCUUUGAUACUUGGUACCUAGAGUAUGGAAGAGGUAAGUGGAAUUCCGAGUGUAGAGGUGAAAUUCGUAGAUAUUCGGAGGAACACCAGUGGCGAAGGCGGCUUACUGGUCCAUUACUGACGCUGAGGUGCGAAAGCGUGGGGAGCAAACAGGAUUAGAAACCCUGGUAGUCC